rnacentral:rRNA from 1 species
UACGUAGGGUGCGAGCGUUGUCCGGAAUUAUUGGGCGUAAAGGGCUCGUAGGCGGUCUGUUGCGUCGGUAGUGAAAACUCAGGGCUUAACCCUGAGCCUGCUUCCGAUACGGGCAGACUAGAGGUAUGCAGGGGAGAACGGAAUUCCUGGUGUAGCGGUGAAAUGCGCAGAUAUCAGGAGGAACACCGGUGGCGAAGGCGGUUCUCUGGGCAUUACCUGACGCUGAGGAGCGAAAGUGUGGGGAGCGAACGGG